AGAGGACCAGAGUGGACGAACCUCUGGUGUACCGGUUGUGACGCCAGUCGCAUCGCCGGGUAGCUAUGUUCGGAAGGGAUAACCGCUGAAAGCAUCUAAGCGGGAAGCCUACCUCAAGAUAAGAUUUCCCUAGGAAUUUAUUCCUCUAAAGAGCCGUUCGAGACUAGGACGUUGAUAGGUUGGAUGUGGAAGCAUAGUGAUAUGUGAAGCUGACCAAUACUAAUUGCUCGUGAGGCUUGACUAUACAACACCCAAGCAGUUG
rnacentral:rRNA from 1 species